rnacentral:rRNA from 1 species
CCUACGGGAGGCAGCAGUGGGGAAUAUUGCACAAUGGGGGGAACCCUGAUGCAGCAACGCCGCGUGGGUGAAGAAGUACUCCGGUAUGUAAAGCUCUGUCAGCAGGGAAGAAAAUGACGGUACCUGACCACGAAGCCCCGGCUAACUACGUGCCAGCAGCCGCGGUAAUACGUAGGGGGCAAGCGUUAUCCGGAUUUACUGGGUGGAAAGGGAGCGUAGACGGCAAGGCAAGUCUGGAGUGAAAGCCCGUGGCCCAACCACGGGACUGCUUUGGAAACUGUGUUGCUGGAGUGCAGGAGGGGUAGGCGGAAUUCCUAGUGUAGCGGUGAAAUGCGUAGAUAUUAGGAGGAACACCAGUGGCGAAGGCGGCUUGCUGGACUGUAACUGACGUUGAGGCGCGAAGGCGUGGGGAGCAAACAGGAUUAGAUACCCGUGUAGUC